GGAGAGGUGUCCGAGUGGCUUAAGGAGCCGGUUUCGAAAACCGGUGUGCCCCUUGGGGUACCGCGGGUUCGAAUCCCGCCCUCUCCG
rnacentral:tRNA from 1 species